rnacentral:rRNA from 1 species
AACGAACGCUGGCGGCAUGCCUAACACAUGCAAGUCGAACGAGACCACCGGAACUAGUGGCUCUCAGGUGCGUCACGCGUCGGACCCUGCCCUUAUAUUCGGAAUACCACUCCGACAGGGGUGCUAAUACAGGAUAACGUACUCGGAUCACACAUACAUCGUGUUUGGAUGGGCAGGCGUUGGUUUGGCUUGUCGGUAGGGUAAAAGCCUACCAAGGCGACGCUACUUAGCUGGGCUGAGAGGAUGAGCAGCCACACUGGGACUGGGACACGGCCGAGACUCCUACGGGAGGCAGCAGUGGGGAAUAUUGGACAAUGGGCGAAAGCCUGAUCCAGCAAUGCCGCGUGAGUGAUGAAGGCCUUAGGGUUGUAAAGCUCUUUUACCCGGGAUGAUAAUGACAGUACCGGGAGAAUAAGCUCCGGCUAACUCCGUG